rnacentral:rRNA from 1 species
GACGAACGCUGGCGGCGUGCUUAACACAUGCAAGUCGAACGGAAAGGCCCUGCUUUUGUGGGGUGCUCGAGUGGCGAACGGGUGAGUAACACGUGAGUAACCUGCCCUUGACUUUGGGAUAACUUCAGGAAACUGGGGCUAAUACCGGAUAGGAGCUCCUGCUGCAUGGUGGGGGUUGGAAAGUUUCGGCGGUUGGGGAUGGACUCGCGGCUUAUCAGCUUGUUGGUGAGGUAGUGGCUUACCAAGGCUUCGACGGGUAGCCGGCCUGAGAGGGUGACCGGCCACAUUGGGACUGAGAUACGGCCCAGACUCCUACGGGCGGCAGCAGUGGGGAGUAUUGCACAAUGGGCGGAAGCCUGAUGCAGCAACGCCGCGUGCGGGAUGACGGCCUUCGGGUUGUAAACCGCUUUCGCCUGUGACGAAGCGUGAGUGACGGUAAUGGGUAAAGAAGCACCGGCUAACUACGUG